GGAAAAUGAGGGGGCCGCUGUAUCAUAUCUAUUCGAGCGCACAAACGAGGAGCUUGCUCCUCUGAACGUUAGCGGCGGACGGGUGAGUAACACGUGGAUAACCUACCUAUAAGACUGGGAUAACUUCGGGAAACCGGAGCUAAUACCGGAUAAUAUAUUGAACCGCAUGGUUCAAUAGUGAAAGACGGUUUUGCUGUCACUUAUAGAUGGAUCCGCGCCGCAUUAGCUAGUUGGUAAGGUAACGGCUUACCAAGGCAACGAUGCGUAGCCGACCUGAGAGGGUGAUCGGCCACACUGGAACUGAGACACGGUCCAGACUCCUACGGGAGGCAGCAGUAGGGAAUCUUCCGCAAUGGGCGAAAGCCUGACGGAGCAACGCCGCGUGAGUGAUGAAGGUCUUCGGAUCGUAAAACUCUGUUAUUAGGGAAGAACAAAUGUGUAAGUAACUAUGCACGUCUUGACGGUACCUAAUCAGAAAGCCACGGCUAACUACGUGCCAGCAGCCGCGGUAAUACGUAGGUGGCAAGCGUUAUCCGGAAUUAUUGGGCGUAAAGCGCGCGUAGGCGGUUUUUUAAGUCUGAUGUGAAAGCCCACGGCUCAACCGUGGAGGGUCAUUGGAAACUGGAAAACUUGAGUGCAGAAGAGGAAAGUGGAAUUCCAUGUGUAGCGGUGAAAUGCGCAGAGAUAUGGAGGAACACCAGUGGCGAAGGCGACUUUCUGGUCUGUAACUGACGCUGAUGUGCGAAAGCGUGGGGAUCAAACAGGAUUAGAUACCCUGGUAGUCCACGCCGUAAACGAUGAGUGCUAAGUGUUAGGGGUUUCCGCCCCUUAGUGCUGCAGCUAACGCAUUAAGCACUCCGCCUGGGGAGUACGACCGCAAGGUUGAAACUCAAAGGAAUUGACGGGGACCCGCACAAGCGGUGGAGCAUGUGGUUUAUUCGAAAGCAACGCGAAGAACUUAACUAAAUCUUGGACAGUCCUCUGACCCCCUCUAGAGAUAUAGUUUUUGCCCUUCCGGGGGACAGAGGUGACAAGGUGGUGCCAUGGAUUGUCGUCAUCUCCAUGUCAUGAGAAAUGUUGGCUUAGGUACCCGCCACCUGAGUCGCCAACCGUAAGCUUAGUGGCAUGCAUAAUUGGUACGUCUAAAUUACUGCGGUGCCAAACUGUAGUAUGUUGGGAAUGAGCUUCACUCAUG
rnacentral:rRNA from 1 species